rnacentral:sRNA from 1 species
GCUGGGUGAAGUGGUGCACAUCUGUAAUUCUGGCAACUCGGCAGCUGAGGCAGGUGGAUCAUGAGUUCCAGGCCAGCCUGGGCAACUUAGUGAGACCUUGUCUCAA